UGUUUCCAUUUUGUCCCUUGCCUCUACUUUCACUGCGCACCUAAGUAAGGUAAAAAUAUGUGUGAAUGCAGUAACUGGAUUUGAGCAAUACUAAAUUCUGAAGGAUUUGGAAAUGUAGACCAAGAUGUGAAAAUCCCUCUGCUUUGUAGUUAUACAUACUAAGUAUGAGACCUGCACAAGUCCCUCUUCAGGCAUAAGAUGAACAAGUGUAUGGGGCGGCUGAAUCACAGCCUGAACCUCUGAUUAAUCACCUGAGGUGAGCAAUAAGUCAGCCACGGGAGAACAGGUGAAGGUGAUUCACCUGUGCUGCAGGAAGGGGUGGAGCCUGGCUGCACCUCUCCUAGACCCAUUUAAGAGCUGACUGCCAGUGGGGAAGGAUCUCUUCUGGAGAUCUGCUCCAUCAGAGUCUAUCAUGUGAACCCAGGAGAGGCUGACAACACUGAAUUGCCCAGCGUUUAAGGAAAUCUAAUCACACAGCAUACGGACUUUGCCUUCCAGUAAGAUGAUCUUUCUCUCAUCCCACUGGGCAGGGAGAGUGAGUGAACAGCUGCAUGGUGCUGAGCUGCCUGCCAGGUUAAACCACGGUUUUGCUCAGGAACUUACCACACAAAGAAACUGUUUCUCAAGUACUGUGCUCUGCACUUUUGUGUAGGAAGGCCCAAGGAAUAAGUAAUUGCUAAUAUUCCUUUUUAUUUUUAUAUCAUGAUGAGGUUAGUUGAGGAUUUUAUCAGAGUAAUGCAAAUCUGUUUAAAUACUGGUAUAUACAUUUGCUGGUUGGACAAAAUUUUUGUUUUUUCUAUGUUUUUCAUACUUUUUGUUUUACAUGCAGACUUCUUUGAUUGGGACCCUUAAAUUUAAGAUCAUCAACACACCAACUGUGUUGCUUUUCUACAUCACUUUUCCAUGUUGCCCUACCAUGUUUAUUUUCUUUUCCAAUGUCAGUAUCCCAUAAAUGACAGAAAGACAUUGACUAACAGUUGGAGGGCAAUAAACCAAUGGGUACUGUAUAUGAUGCACUGCAUCCAGUAGUCAAAAUCAAGUAAGCAUGAUCGAUACUAUUUAUCACAUGUAGCAAUAUUUAUUUUGGAUUUUUUUUCCUUAACUGUUCAUCUUGAAUCUGAACCAAAGUCAUCCUCUUCAUUGCAUUUCUUUGUCAUGUGAAAUAAGCGUGUAAAAAUAAGCUACUGUACACAAAGAUUAACAGUUAAAGCAUAAAAAUGAAAACAAAUUGCCUACAGUGUUUAACUGACCGUGGUAUUAAAUAGUGCAGGUACGUAUGUACUUAUAUUAACCUGUGCACUCUGCAUUCAGCUGACAUCCAAAUGAGCUGCAACUCAAUUCCAGACAACAGGAGAAAUGCUCCUGACAAAGUAGACAAGAAUUCUUCAUACAAAAAAAGUGUCAGUGUUUCCCCAGGGCAAUGUUUGCAGAAGUCUGGAAUGUGCUUCCCUCUGUGUGUGUGUGCGCGCGCAAUAUUCAGCAUACUGCACAUUCAGUUCAUGGUUAAUUACUGGAUUACAUACUGCUCCAGAAUAUAUAACUAAAUUAAGUAAAUUAAGUAAAUAUAGUGCAUAGUUACCAGUCUCGAUAAUUGGAAAAGUCGAUGUCCUAAAAAAGGAAAUCUCCCCAAAGUGAUGGAAACUUAUAUAUUUGAGAUUACAGUAAUUAUCUCACAUGAAUGCAGUUAUGUCAGGGGCAGGCUCUGAAAGCUGAUCCAGAAACCUUUAGUAUUAUUUGACAAUUCCCUUUGCUUUUAAGAGUUUCUCAUUAAGGUAAAAACAUCCUUAAAUGCAAGAAAAUAUACAUUACCAAAAAUAUACUAUAAAUGUCCUAUUUUUAAAAGUCCUUAUGUGUAUUUUGCCUUUUAAUAUUAGAUCUAUAAACAAAUUGAGAUGCCCAUAUUUUCAACACAAAGAACAUACAAAGUAGCCUUCUUUACAUUGGUUUCUUUUUACUUAUAUCUCUUUACACAUCCCACACCUUAGUGGGCAUGAUGUACCAACAAGUACAUUAUCAGUGUAUAAAUAGCAUCUGCUUUCUGUAUUGUAAGUGCUCUGCCAGUUCUCAUAUUUUAACUUCCAUGGUACAAUGUCACAAGUACCAUGGAGGACACCUAAGGCCUACACACAUUUCUUUCAGGGGAAGAAAUACAUGUCAGUCACUAAAACACAACGAUUUUGAUUUAGCAUCCUUUGGGUGUGAUGUGAAUAAACACACAGAAGUUUUUGAUGAUCUAAGAUGCUCAGAUGACAGCAGGGUACUGUACUGUGCAGUAUCAAGGCAUCGUAUCUUUUCCUCUGCAUUUCUUAGGAUUCUGCAGAAAUGAGCCCAUAUCAGUCUACACAGCAAGGUGAUAAUAGCAACUAUGUAUUAAUAAUAGCAAGAUAAUGUGGCUUACUGAACGUGGAAAUAGUGGCAAUUAGCAUGGUAUGAUUAUACAAUAAGGACAAUCAAGAAAGUUUUAUUUCUUCUUCAGUACCCCUUUGCUGUCACUGAUGGAUUGUGUAACACUAGGAGGCUCAAUGAUCUCAAGAGAGAAGAGCCUCUGGGAUCCACUUGGGUUUGCGGAGCAAGGCUGACUUAGAUUGAUCUGGCAGCCAACAGAUCAGUUUCUGAAAUGGCAUCCAUACUCUUUGAUAAAGCACUGUAAGAUCAAUCUACUGAUGAAAACAGAUACAUACUGGUUAUAUAUUUACUAUUUGUCAUUCUCACAUAUGAUUUAUUUUUAUGAUACCCUUUUUGCUGUGUUAAAAAAUGAACUGUUUUCUAAUAGUAGAGUAACAAGGAGACCAGUUAGCUUGCCUUUAGAAAAUAGUUCCUUCCGUAGUCAGUCAGAUAUUUUGAGGUCCCAUUUCAUGCCUAAAUCGUAAGGUUGGUAUUAAUGCUUUUAAGAUACAAUACACCAUUGAUAGAACAAAACUUUAAAGCCAAUUAAGUGUUGGCAAUCUUCCUACCACUGGCAAAGUAACACUUGUUAACAGUUCCCCUUUGUGGCAUGUUUGUAGUGCAAUCGCUGAUUUCUGGAAAGCUUUUUUGGCACUUCUAAAUAUUUUGAAAUAUCUAAUGAAUUUAUUUUUAUAGGCAAUUUUAGACUUUGCUCAUAUUAAUUUAAAGCAUUUUACUUUAAAAAGUAGGGCUUUUAUGCACUCAAAUGAGGUAUGUAUCCACAUUUUAACACAUGGGAAAGAUAUUCUUUAAUUUGUAGAAAUAAACUGUACAAACAAUAAUUUGUUUAUCUGCAUUUUAACUAGUUAACAAUUUAAGAAAUCAUCUCGUACAAAUCUUUAUGAAAUACUCUCAAGUAGGUGUGAGUAAGGAGAUACUGCUGCUUUACAAAACAAAAAAAAAUCAGAACAUUUUUAUCCUGUGUUUUAUUGUAAGUAAAAGCUUUCAUGGCUAUUUACUUUAAAUUAUUUCAAUCUUAACAAAGCUUUUUUUCUUCAUUUUGCGUGGAAAGAAUGUGAUUAGGUUGGGAAAGAAAUAAGAAACACACAAAAUAAAAUUAACUAGCAAGGCUUAAUUUAUAAUGAGAUCAACUUUUAUGAAAGGCAAAAUUAUUUUUAACAAAAUGAUCCAACUUUAUUAUACGCCUGCUAAAAGUUCAAACAUCACUGGAGGGCAUUUUGGAGGGGACAAAAAAAGCAGCUAGAUUUCAUUUUAGUCUGUUUUUUUUAUAAACGUUCUGCAGUAUUUAGUCUGUACUAUCUAGUACUACAUGUUUUCUUCUCAUAGUGUCUAUCUUAGAAGUUCUAAAGUACUGGUAUAAGUUGUAUCACUGCUCAGUGUGUGAGCAGAGAUUAAUAAAAUUUCUUGUAUUUCGUCAUCUAUAAAAUCAUGUUCUGUA